rnacentral:lncRNA from 1 species
CCUGCUGUGAGGAGCGAGGGGUAGCGCAGCGAGGGGGAGAGACCCCCCGUCAGUCUCCUUGAAGACAGGGAGCAGCAGAACUGUUGGCUGUCGCCAGCUCAAAUGCUCACCACCUUAGGGAGGGGCCACCCUGUCAGGCCAGACUGCAACCUCAGCCUGUCCCAUGUGGCCACUGGCCUCUCCAGGACACAAGGCCACCAGGACCCUGGACAACACGUCCCAAACCCCUUCAUGGUCUGCAGAGGCCGUGGUGCCUGCUAAUGUGCAGUGGCACUUUCCGGCUUCUGAAGGCAGCCUGUGAGCUCCAUCUGUACAAAACGCCUGAGGCCUCCUCCCUGUUCCCACCCUGCCACCAGGAGUGACAAGUGUGCACUGACCAUUACUAUGUGAUAACCAGGACGUGGCCCCUGGAAGCAGCAGCCCUGCCCAGAGUGUCACGACCUGUGUGGCAGGAGCUCCCUGCUCUCUGCCUGGCUCUCAGGAGGCCCAGGACGGCCGUGGCCAGGAGGACUGCCAUGCGCACGGUGCGUUGGCCCUGCUCCCCGUGGCCGCUGUCUUCAGAAGCUGGCUGGCUGCCUCAUGUGUCAGAAUCAGUAAGAAUGCCUGGGCGAAAGCCCUUCUGUUCCCAUCACUGUUACACCAACGGCCACAGGAGCAGAGAACUAGGAAACCACAAGACUGUCCCAGACAGAAUUCACAAGAGAAGUGGGGCACCCAGGCCUGCUUCUCUGUGCCAAGCCACCUGACCCGUGUGCUUUCCAGACUUCAGGUGCACCAGUUAGACUCCAGGCCUCCGUAGUCAGUCACAGAGCAGGGACCCCAACCAAGGACCUUGUUACUUAAAGAGAAUCUGCAAAUUAGCUCCCUUGAGUAACCAUCAGUAGGUUAACAUCUUCUGACAGGAAUUUGCAUUUUAUUACCUUCUACCUUGCGUAAUUGAUGAAAACUAAAUGAGAUUAUUAAUGUUCUGUGAAUAGUGUAAUACUUGGCUAAACCUUGCCUCUAAAAGCAUUAUACUUGCUCCCAUUAAAUUUACAUUGUUCAGUGAUGAAAGUUCUCUUAGGCAGUCUCCAAAUAUGUCUGCGUGGUCAGAAGAGUGCUUCAUUAACUCACUUUAAACAGAGUGCUGGAUCACUGGGCUUGGAAACUUUUCCAAACUAGAAUUAUCAUUGUCCUAUUCUACAGGGUAACACUUUGAAAUAUCCAUUGUUUGUCCAGAUGAUGAAGACUGACUUCAUACAAUUACAGCAGCCAGAUACGGCUGGGUAACAAACAACCCCUCAACCACCAGUGGCAUCAAGAGCACUUGGCUCCUGGGUCUUUGAGGUGGCGAGGUGGUUCUGCCUGGCCCCUGGCACCCGGCUGACUUUGCUUACUGCUGCAAGUCUAGAGAUAGCUUGACUAGCUCUGCUCAACACAUAACGUGGUCCUCCCUUACCAGGGUUGGGCUUCAUGAGAGUGCAAAAGCCAUGUGCCUUCAACAGAGAUUGUGCUUCAGAUUUUGCAUUUUGGUCCUUAUUGACCUUUUUGUGUUUUAAUUUUCUCCUGGACUACCAUAUGCUGUAUGAUUCUCUUGGUGCUGGGCAGAGGCAGAGAGCACUAGCUCGCAUUUCACCAGCUGGGGCUCUACAGUGCACUGUCGUAGGCACGAUGUUCAGUGGGGUGAGUGUGUCAAAUGUAUUUUAAUGUGUGGGCCAAUGAGACAGAGGGCAGCACGCAAAACUCACGAGAUAACAAGCAGGGUUGCAGGGCC